rnacentral:lncRNA from 1 species
ACUCCUUGUGUGAGCCUUUAAGGCAGGUCUAGUGGCAGUGGGGCUGGCUCGGCGGAUCCCUGUCAGUCACUUUGCUCUCGUACUAAGUGUACUUUUGUGCCAUUUAAGCAGCCGAUGGUGUCAUUGGCGUUGAGAGUGCAGCUUCUACAGCUCACACUGAAGGCUUUGGGGACCCAGGAGGGCGCGAGUUGUUUUAAGAUACAUGGCCAUUUGACAUACCCGUGUUAAGUUCAAUCUUGCUACAAAAGAAGGCCAUUUGUACUUCCUGACCCUGAAAGCAAGAACUGUGUCUCUUUAAAUCUACUGAGGAAGAUAUUCCUUCUGGCCCACAGGAUGCCAAAAUGACUCGAUGAUUUAUUUAUGCAGCGCUUGGCAGCCCAUCGUCCAGAUUGUGGCUGAAGCUGAAUUUUAUGAGCCUUCCCCCAAGAAAUAUCUUGAAAGAGCCAGGUUGGUCCAGACCUGCUGGCAAGCCUGCAGCCCCAUCCACCGAUUACCUAAUACACUUGUGACAUCUGCUUUCCUUGUUGUGAGAAAACACAGGGAGGAAGUGUGUGCAGAAGGGGUGAUGCCUGACCUACACACCCGGCAAUACCAGAAGUUUCACUACCUUCCGUUGGUAAACGCUUCAGGGAAGGCUCUGCAACCCUGAACGUGUUUUAUUGUAGAACCUCACUAGGAAACUCAUCAGUAUUUAUUAAAGAUGAAUUAAAAGAAGGAGGAAAAGGAAAAACGGGAUAGUGAAGAGAAUAGAUGAAUGAAAAAGAAGCAAAGGGAAGAGAGGAGGAAGGGACAAAGAGGGCAAGAAAAGAGAAAAGAGAGAUGAGAGACCAGGACUUCCCACCUAACCUUACCAAACUUUUUCAGUUGAGCUUUUAAUGGGAUACUAUUCCCAAGAGGAAAUUCAAAAAGAAAACCACCUUGAAACAUCCUUGCUUUUAAUUGUACUCUUUCAACUGCCAGGAAAUUAAUUAGGUAAGACAAAAAGAAAAUUUUCUACCUUAAUAAAAAGAAGCCAACACCCAGGAACAACUGUCUUUGCUUGAGAACAGUGUUACGUGUACAAAGCUGCCUACAAAGUGUCUCCCGCCUGGCUCAGGCAAGAAACUGGGACAGAAGUCUGUGAUGUUAUACCAGCCUGGGAGUCGUGCAUGGUCAUGUCAGUGUCGAGUGCACCAGGCGACACAGGGACAUGCCAGGCACCGCUCCUCCAGAGAGACUUGCCAGGUAUACAUGUUACCUCUCUCCCUUAGGCUUCACAGACUCGGCGGCCUUCCUCCAACCACCUGUCUCCUUAGGAAGUUUGAGAGAACUUUCUCCUCUGUGAUACAAACAGUAACCAAACAAAGCAGUAAACAAUCCAGUGUGGAAAGCACAUACUAAAGCUAAGAUUUAAUGUCACUGAAAUAAAAUCAUAACAACAAAAAACUCCAAGUACCCUUUCUUUGCAUAAUGUAUUUCAGGUGUCCAGCUACAGAGGCCAAGCCUGUGAUUUACAUCAAGCAAAGAGUCCUGGGAGAAAGAGGAGGAAAGACCGCCUUUGCCUGGGACAAGAUUCCUAUUUGUGUCAAGGAGAGUUAGGGACGAGAUGGUUGAGGCAGAGCAGCUGACUGCAGUCUUUAUCCAGUUUGCAUUGCUUUGGGGAAAGCCUUUUAACUGCAAGCCGGAUUGUCCAGAUGCUGGGCUGUCCGGAUGCUGGAUGGUCCAGAUGCUUUGUCGUGGUUGUUCCCUCUGAGUUUCCUCUGCCUUCUGGCUCCUCUUAGUCACCUUCACAACAGGGCUUUAUCAGGACUCUAGAGCAUCGGGCAAGCUCAGGUCUCACCUCUCCUUUUAAUUCUGCAGGAGUCUAUGCCAUGUACUCCAGCCCUGCAUAGAAUGAGUUCUGGAGUUCACCUGGAGCCCACGGAGAGUGGAUGUGGAACUUUUCUGUAGAACAUAGGAGCCGUCUGUACCGGCACAGCUUCAGCCAGCAAUAAGCAUUACCAGCUCCUGCCAGAGGAGCAAGAGGCAGCCACUGAGCUAUAGAGAUCCACACUCCGUCCCUCGUACAACUGCCGCUGUGACCACCUUCUCCUUUCUGCUUUAUUACGUCUGAGAAGCAUUUCAUAUGAUAACCUUCCCUUUCACUCUGGCCUGGACCCUUAUUGAAAAGGAAGAAGCAGUGGAAGAGAUCAGACAAGCAGUGUUGUUCGAGACACUUCCUAAUUCCCUUAACAAGGGUUAUGAAGUUUCGGCUGGGAAAAAGGACAAGGGGCAGAGACAGUGUUUAUUUACAGAAUGGUUCUAGAAGAGCUGACAGGCUUCGAAUGGCCGUGGGUUGUACGGUUUUGACAUUUAACAAUUUUAUUAACAUCUUUGCUUAUUAUUCACCUUAAUCUUCAGCGUCUGCAGCCAGGAAGGAGUGUGCCCAGCUGACAGCCUGUGUCUCAGGCCCUGCCAGGGGAUGAAUCAAUUAGCAGGAGAAGCCAUGAUGCAAACGUUCUGGGGUCACUUGAGAGGCUGUUUGCCUUUCUGAUAGAGAAAGCACACCAUAAAUACCAUCACACCUCAGGAAAUCAUCCCGGGAGGCCCAGAUGCUAGCACGACGGCUGUCACUGCUGUGGGGACAGAGGGAAUCCUUGGCUCCCUGGGUGGAUUUCCCUCAUGCCGGUCAAUAGAAGAUUUGUAGUGAAAUCAAAAUAUUUUAAAGGAGGACAGUGUGCGGUAACAGAGGCUUGUUUAGCUUUUUUUUUUAAGUACCAGAACCCAUGAUUUAUGACCCACAGUUACAACCAACUUUAUUACAAAAAUGACUUCACCCAUAAUAACCUUAUUCAGGAAUCCUUACAGAAUGAUGUAGUAUCCCCAAAGCAUUAUAAGCUAGCAAAUAUUCACAAACAAUUCCUACUGCUGUCCCUUUUCCCCACCCACUCAGUGGUAGGGUAGGAUUCCCCCCCACCCCUUUUUUUUUUUUUUAACCAGCUGGGAGAAAGAGGUCCCAGACAAGCUUCUAUAUUCUUUUGGUAGACAUUUGCCAGGUCAGGCAUUUCAAAUCACCCAGGACAGAGGCUGCCUCCUAGCUUCGACCUUUAUCUUCCCCAACCAGUGCCCUGGGCAACAGCACAGGGCUCCAUUCACCUUCACUGCCUCCCUGAGCAUCCCUGUCUCCCUCCCUCGUUGGAUACCCAGUAUCUGGGGGUAGCUUCAUGAAGUCCCUCCCCUUUUAAUUGCCAUGGUAACCGACAGCUGCAUUAAAAUGGCCAGGACUUGGGGGGUCCAAGCAAUGUCCCUCGGGUGUGCCUGGAUCUAGGAACUGGUUCUCUAUCUUAUUAAACUCAGGUGUCAGUCCCUAGCAUUUGUGUUAAAUUUACACCCUCCAAGUCGGUCAGUGGGAUUACAUGUCCAUUUGCAUUAAAACAGGUUUCUGUCAUUAAACUGCCAUACAAUGAGCGUCCUUGGGACAAAUUAAUGAGCUCUAAAUAUCAUCAAGUAGAGAAGUUCACUUCACCAAGACAGCCACCGUGGGGUCGGAGGGGGUGGCUGCUCACUGUUCUCACCCAAGAGAACCGUAAGCGCCAGCUAAAGACGGUCUCAUCCUGCUUCUCCAUCGAAAGAUGAGUGUCAUGAUUUAGAGCCCUCUGAGGAGCUGGUGAGUUCUCCCCUAGCCUGGCCCUAGAGCUCGUCUCUUCCUAUUCCUUAUUCCAGACAUGCUGAUAGCAUUGACUUUGUCUGCUCAAAAUCACUGAACAACCAUUGGCUUCCUUCCUAUGUGACAGUGCUUCAGCUUCAUUUCUCUUUCCUUGCUUUCUGAUGUUAAGGACCAUCUGUGUACAGUGUGGCCUGGUAACAGAAUGCACACAACACAGUGACAGGGGUAGCCACAGAGUGGGCCUCUACUCUAAAACACCCUCCAGAGUAUGUGUUAGUAGAGCAGUUGGCCCAUGAGUUGGGUGGGGGCCUAUCCUCUGGAAAACUGGUUUUCCUGGAAGUUCCUUUCCCAGUUGUCUAAAAGGUAUCUGUGUGUGUGUGUGUGUGUGUGUGUGUGUGUGUGUGUGUGUGUGUGUGUGUGUGUACGCACAGGAACACAUGCCCAUGUGCCAUAAUACAUCUGUGGAGGUCAGAGGACAGCUUGAAGAAGUUGGAUCUUGACUUUUACCAUGUGGAUCCUGGGAGCUGAACUCAGCUUGCCGAACUUGGAAGCGGAUACCCGAGCCAUCUUGGAAGCCCCUAGGGGAGACUUCCUUUAAGACUGAAUUCUUUCUGUUCACAAGCAUAGUUAGUGUUUGCCCUCACAAAUACAUAAUAGGUAGAAAUUAUCAGAAACUAAUAAAUAAAGCCCCAAGCUUUCUCUUACAUAGAGCCAAGAGGCUGCUAGAUGAACCUCCUCCACCGCACUCUGAUCUCAUUUCUGUGCGGCCCUAACAGGGGACAGUAAUGUAUGAUUGAGACACUGCUACAUUUAGGAAUGACAAGAUGGGCAUUAUUAAUAGCUUAAUUGACAUUAAGGCAAUUACCCCUACCCUUAUUACAGUUUGUAGAAUUACUCAGAAAAUAUUGGCUGAGCCCUUUCUUUCCCUAGAGCUACCCAAGGAUACAGCAUUUUAUUUCAUGCCAGAUCUCGGCUUUGACAUUAGAUACUUAGCCAUAGAAUGAUUCCAGUAAAUCAUUAUAAAUGCAUUAUAAUAAAGAUGUUAUGAGCUAUCAGAUAUUAACCCCCAACCCCUAAAGAGAGAUAAAUAGUUCAGUUGCUUGGUUCCCACUAUUGUUUCAUCAGAAAUAAGCUUUUGCAAGGAGCAACUGACUAAUGAAUUAUAAAAUGGUGUGCUGAG